rnacentral:rRNA from 1 species
AGCAGCCGCGGUAAUUCCAGCCCCAAUAGCGUAUAUUAAAGUUGCUGCAGUUAAAAAGCUCGUAGUUGAAUUUCGGGACCAUCAUGUCGGUCGUGCCUCGGUACGUACUGGCAUUGUUGGUUUCUCCCUUCUGACGAACCAUGAUGUCAUUUAUUUGGUGUUGUGGGGAAUCAGGACUGUUACUUUGAAAAAAUUAGAGUGUUUAAAGCAGGCUCACGCUUGAAUACAUUAGCAUGGAAUAAUGAAAUAGGACGUUUGAUUCUAUUUUGUUGGUUUCUAGGAUCGACGUAAUGAUUAAUAGGGAUAGUUGGGGGCAUUAGUAUUCAAUUGUCAGAGGUGAAAUUCUUGGAUUUAUUGAAGACUAACUACUGCGAAAGCAUUUGCCAAGGAUGUUUUCAUUAAUCAAGAACGAAAGUUAGGGGAUCGAAGACGAUCAGAUACCGUCGUAGUCUUAACCAUAAACUAUGCCGACUAGGG